UACGGAGGGUGCGAGCGUUGUCCGGAAUCACUGGGCGUAAAGGGCGCGUAGGUGGCGCGGGAAGUCUUCGGUGAAAGCUCAGGGCUCAACCCUGAGUCGGCCGGCGAUACUCCCGUGCUCGAGCUCACUAGAGGCAGAUGGAAUUCCGGGUGUAGCGGUGGAAUGCGUAGAGAUCCGGAAGAACACCAGUGGCGAAGGCGGCCCGCUGGGCAGUGGCUGACGCUGAGGCGCGACAGCGUGGGGAGCAAACAGG
rnacentral:rRNA from 1 species